rnacentral:RNase_P_RNA from 1 species
CUACAAACCGGUGCUAUCGUCUUUGCCGUUGCAAAACGGGGGGAAGGAAAGUCCGGACAGCAUAGGGCAACGCACCACCUAACGGGUGGGAUCCUGGUGAAAGACCGGGAUACAGACAGUGCCACAGAAAAUAACCGCUCCCGCGAUAGCGGGAGUAAGGGUGAAAAUGUGGGGUAAGAGCCCACGUUCCGGUAUGGCAACAUGCCGGGAGGGUAAACCUUGCGUGCUGAAAUGCCAUGUAUACGGUCGUUUGAGGGCUGCCCGCCCGAUGACCGAGGGUAGGCAGAUACAGGUGACGUGCGAACGUCAUCGCAGAUAAAUGAUAGCAGUUCUCCCGCUUGCGGGAGGAAACAGAAUCCGGCUUACAAGGUUUGUAGUUUU